UGGUUCUGGCAUCGAUGAAGAACGCAGCGAAAUGCGAUAAGUAAUGCGAAUUGCAGAAUUCCAGUGAGUCAUCGAAUCUUUGAACGCACAUUGCGCCCUUUGGCAUUCCGAAGGGCAUGCCUGUCCGAGCGUCAUUAUCACCCUUCAAGCCCUGUGCUUGGUGUUGGACGGCUUGGUCGAGGCUCCGGCCUCGACCCCUCCCAAAGAUAACGACGGCGGUCCGUGGCACCCCCGGCACACUGAGCUUUUCACCGAGCACGUGUCGGAUCGAGGGCGUCCGGGUCCCGGUCUCCUUUCCCUCGCGGGAAAAACUUUUACAAGGUUGACCUCGGAUCAGGUAGGAAUACGCGCUGA
rnacentral:misc_RNA from 1 species